rnacentral:rRNA from 1 species
AAUAUUGGACAAUGGGCGCAAGCCUGAUCCAGCCAGGCCGCGUGGGCGAUGAAGGCCCUAGGGUGGUAAAGACCUUUUGUCCGGGGCGACAAUGACGGUACCGGAAGAAUAAGCCCCGGCGAACUCCGUGCAAGAGGCCGCGGUAAUACGAAGGGGGCUAGCGUUGCUCGGAAUCAGGAGGCGUAAGGUGCGCGUAGGCGGACGUUUAAGUCAGGGAUGAAAUCCCGGGGCUCAACCUCGGAAUUGCCUUUGAUACUGGAUGUCUCGAGACCGGAAGAGGUAAGUGGAACUGCGAGUGUAGAGGUGAAAUUCGUAGAUAUUCGCAAGAACACCAGUGGCGAAGGCGGCUUACUGGUCCGGUUCUGACGCUGAGGCGCGAAAGCGUGGGGAGCAAACAGG